rnacentral:snRNA from 1 species
AUAAGGCCAAGUGCAGAAAGGGCCCUUGAUCAUGAAGGUGGUUUUCCCAGGGUGAGGCUCAGCCAUUGAACUCUGGCUGUGUUAACCCCUGCAAUUUCCCCAAAUGCAGGAAACUUGACUGCAUAAUUUGUGGUAGUGGGGGAGGGACUGUUGUGUGCGCUUUCCCCUG